GACGUGCAGAGAACUUUCCAGAGAUGGAUUGUGGCCUUCGGGAACUCUGACACAGGUGCUGCAUGGCUGUCGUCAGCUCGUGUCGUGAGAUGUUGGGUUAAGUCCCGUAACGAGCGCAACCCUUGUCCUUAGUUACCAGCACGUUAUGGUGGGCACUCUAAGGAGACUGCCGGUGACAAACCGGAGGAAGGUGGGGGAUGACGUCAAGUCAUCAUGGCCCUUACGGCCUGGGCUACACACGUGCUACAAUGGUCGGUACAAAGGGUUGCCAAGCCGCGAGGUGGAGCUAAUCCCAUAAAACCGAUCGUAGUCCGGAUCGCAGUCUGCAACUCGACUGCGUGAAGUCGGAAUCGCUAGUAAUCGUGAAUCAGAAUGUCACGGUGAAUACGUUCCCGGGCCUU
rnacentral:rRNA from 1 species